UACGUAGGGGGCAAGCGUUGUCCGGAUUUAUUGGGCGUAAAGAGCUCGUAGGCGGUCUGUCGCGUCGGCUGUGAAAUCCCGAGGCUCAACCUCGGGUCUGCAGUCGAUACGGGCAAACUAGAGUAUUGCAGGGGAGGACUGGAAUUCCUGGUGUAGCGGUGAAAUGCGCAGAUAUCAGGAGGAACACCGGUGGCGAAGGCGGGUCUCUGGGCAAUAACUGACGCUGAGGAGCGAAAGCGUGGGGAGCGAACAGG
rnacentral:rRNA from 1 species